GGUGGCUCAGUGGUAGAGUGUUUGCCUCACAUGCAUAAGGCCCUGGGUUCAAUUCCUCAGCACCA
rnacentral:tRNA from 1 species